rnacentral:piRNA from 1 species
GGGAAUACACGGGAGACCACUCACUCUGUCU